rnacentral:lncRNA from 1 species
ACCUCGUCACUAGCCUCCCUCACCUUCGCCUAAUUGGAUAGGAAAAAAAUAAUUAAUUAACAUUUUCACAUAUAUAUAAAUUUAAAAUUUAAAAUUUAAAAACGUAAAAUGACUUACAAUAUCCUCCUGGGAGUCAGGAUAUGCCUUCUCGUACGUAUAGACGUACGGGUUGACCUCUGGAUGUUCCCUGGCCGCCUCGUCCAUGAAGACAGCGAACGGUCUAGAACCGCCAUGAUGGUUCCUUGUGUUGCGUUGCCUGUUCUGAGAGUUCGCUCGGGAAACGGCCUUCAAAGAAAAAAAUAAAUUAUUAGUAAAAUAUUUAAAAACGGACGUACUUAAUGACAAAUUAACUAAUUAAUUUUUUUAAAUACCUGUUUACGAGGGUUGUUGAAUUCUGAUGUCAGAAGCCAACGCCACUCGUACUCCCUGUACUGGAACUCAGCAGGAGUACCAGAACGUGCGUUCCCGUGCGUAGUCCAAUGGGUCCGCAACUCGUUCUUCCACUCCUUGUACCUACAGACACAACAAAAAUAUUAGAAAUAUUAUUAAUAUCACAUACAAUUUUGUUUUUCAUUAACUUCCCAACGUACCUUCCCCCAUGCACAACGUCGGCCCAGCUGUCCUUAAGGUGCUCGGGAACCUCAAACCACACCUGUAUUUAACCAUUUAUUAGUUUAGUUUUUCGAGAAAUCAACAAUGUAAUACAUAAUAUUAUUUUGUAAACUCACCGACAUCGCGUUGUGGACCAUGUCCUUAACCUCCUGUGGGACCUCGCCCCAGUCUGACCACAACAUAGGGACUCUAUCCCUAAUGAGCGCUCCCACGCGGCCGGAGUACGUCCUCGACUUCCCGCCCGAUACUAUGUGGCCAUCCCCGUCAGUAUUGAUGACGAUCCUCCCCACGGUACCCACGAUCUUCUCGAGAGCCUUCCCUGUGACGGGGCCUCUCUUCUUCUUUGUCGGCUUCGCUCCGACGGUGCCUAUCACAUGAUAAACCAAAUUGAUUAUUUAAAUCGGAGACCCUUUAAAAAUAAUCAUGCAUCACUGAUUACCUGAGGCGCUCGCGGCGGACGCGACGGAUUCCGUCUCUGUCGCCGAUGAUGAUACCCUCGCAGAAAUAAAGAAGGCGUAUCAAAAGGACACGAACCGGUACGCCGCUGAUGGAGCCACUGGCGGGGGC